UUUAAAAAUGCAUUGUAAACUGUAAAGUGAACCACAGGAUAAUCAUGAUUUUCUCCCUGUUCCUCCUGUCCCCCAGGUUGAGCAUGUGGAUAACUGAGAGAUGAUGAAAAAGGCAGGCACUCUGGGCUGACUUUCAUUAUAAAUAAACGGAAGCUCUGCCAAUUCCCUGGCUCUCUUCUCAGCCUCUCCCAGGCCUCUGACAACCCUAGACUCUAAGGUUGAGAAGGGAACUACCUCGGAGACUUUUAUCCAACUCUCAAUAAAUGGAGGAAAACAGCCAUGACCCUGCUUGACGACUUAACCAAUCUGAGCCUCAAUAUUCUCAGCUCAUCUUACAAGGCUCUUAUGAGGAGCAGUUGAAACAAUGCAUGUGGAAAUUCUUUGUAAAGUGCUUUAAAUGGGGCCGGGGGCAGUGGCUCACGCCUGUAAUCCCAGCUUUGGGAGGCCGAGGCAGGCAGAUCACCUGAGGUCAGCAGUUUGAAACCAGUCUGGCCAAUAUGGUUAAACCCCAUCUCUAUUAAAACUGCAAAAAUUAGCUGGCCUGUGGUGGCACAAGCCUGUAAUCCCAGCUACUCAGGAGGCUGAGGCAGGAGAAUCGCUUGAACCUGGGAGGUGGAGAUUGCAGUGAGCCAAGAUCGUGCCACUGCACUCCAGCCUGGGCCACAGAGGGAGACCAUGUCUCAAAAAAUAAUUAAAAAAAAAAAAAAAAAAAAAAAAAAAGG